rnacentral:piRNA from 1 species
UCACAGGGUGUUGUGAGGAUAAUGCAUGUA